rfam:Aeromonas hydrophila subsp. hydrophila ATCC 7966, complete genome.
AGCUUAAGGCUAUCCGAACACCAGUUAGCGCACGGCUCUGCAAGGAGCCAAUUCCCCUAUGCCAGGUACAAGGAAUUCGUACCUGGCUUUUUUUA